AAUGGAGGAAACUCUGAUGCAGCGAUGCCGCGUGAGUGAAGAAGGCCUUUGGGUUGUAAAGCUCUUUCGUCGGGGAAGAAAAUGACUGUACCCGAAUAAGAAGGUCCGGCUAACUUCGUGCCAGCAGCCGCGGUAAUACGAAGGGACCUAGCGUAGUUCGGAAUUACUGGGCUUAAAGAGUUCGUAGGUGGUUAAAAAAGUUGGUGGUGAAAUCCCAGAGCUUAACUCUGGAACUGCCAUCAAAACUUUUUAGCUAGAGUAUGAUAGAGGAAAGCAGAAUUUCUAGUGUAGAGGUGAAAUUCGUAGAUAUUAGAAAGAAUACCAAUUGCGAAGGCAGCUUUCUGGAUCAUUACUGACACUGAGGAACGAAAGCAUGGGUAGCGAAGAGGAUU
rnacentral:rRNA from 1 species